GGACGAACGCUGGCGGCGUGCUUAACACAUGCAAGUCGAGCGGUAAGGCCCUUUCGGGGGUACACGAGCGGCGAACGGGUGAGUAACACGUGGGUGACCUGCCCUCAGCUCUGGGAUAAGCCUGGGAAACUGGGUCUAAUACUGGAUAUGACUCCACGGUGCAUGUCGUGGGGUGGAAAGCCUUGUGCGGCUGAGGAUGGGCCCGCGGCUUAUCAGCUUGUUGGUGGGGUGANGGCCUACCAAGGCGACGACGGGUAGCCGGCCUGAGAGGGCGACCGGCCACACUGGGACUGAGACACGGCCCAGACUCCUACGGGAGGCAGCAGUGGGGAAUCUUGCGC
rnacentral:rRNA from 1 species